rnacentral:rRNA from 1 species
GACGAACGCUGGCGGCGUGCUUAACACAUGCAAGUCGAACGGAAAGGCCUUUUCGGAGGUACUCGAGUGGCGAACGGGUGAGUAACACGUGGGUGAUCUGCCCUGCACUCUGGGAUAAGCCUGGGAAACUGGGUCUAAUACCGGAUAGGACCGCACUUUAGUGUGUGUGGUGGAAAGUUUUUUCGGUGUAGGAUGAGCCCGCGGCCUAUCAGCUUGUUGGUGGGGUAAUGGCCUACCAAGGCGGCGACGGGUAGCCGGACUGAGAGGUUGGUCGGCCACAUUGGGACUGAGAUACGGCCCAGACUCCUACGGGAGGCAGCAGUGGGGAAUAUUGCACAAUGGGCGCAAGCCUGAUGCAGCGACGCCGCGUGGGGGAUGACGGCCUUCGGGUUGUAAACUCCUUUUGCCAGGGACGAAGCGUUUUGUGACGGUACCUGGAGAAGAAGCACCGGCUAACUACGUG